UACGAAGGGGGCUAGCGUUGUUCGGAAUUACUGGGCGUAAAGGGCGCGUAGGCGGGUCCUUAAGUCAGGGGUGAAAUCCCGGAGCUCAACUCCGGAACUGCCUUUGAUACUGGGGAUCUUGAGUCCGGAAGAGGUGAGUGGAACUCCGAGUGUAGAGGUGAAAUUCGUAGAUAUUCGCAAGAACACCAGUGGCGAAGGCGGCUCACUGGCCCGAUACUGACGCUGAGGCACGAAAGCGUGGGGAGCAAACAGG
rnacentral:rRNA from 1 species